GCUGGCUGGGUGCUGAGCGCCGUGGCAGUGGGUGUCACCGGGCUGGGGCUCCCCCGUCCUUUCCCCUCUCCCCGGCACCUCUGCCCUGGCUGGAGGAGAGGCAAAGGAUGGAGUUAAUCCUUGGAAAAGCUGGGGGGCACAUAAGCCCCUGGCUUUGAGUCCUUCGCUUACCCUGACCCCCACUUUGUCCCCCUGCUCAAAUGCCCUCGGGGCUCCCAACGAAGGGCCCCGGGGUGCAGGUACCCAAGGACAACGGGACCGCCGGGGACAGCUGCUCGUCGACUCCAGGCUGCUCCUCGACGGGCAGCAGAGGAGGGCCAGGCCGAUCGGCCUCCUGCCGCUGGCACCCGAGGAUGAGCCCGGUCUUCGUCGCUGCCGCCCUUGGUUUCCUCCUGCCCCGCUGCUGCUGGUAGCGGCGAGACUUCUGCGCUCGCCGCCUGUCGACCCGCCAUCACCACCCGGCCACGCGUCUACGGCUUAGCGAGAAACACCGACCGGCAGCGGCUUUCAGAGGUGCUCAGGAAACACACGGCUCCAACCGGACCCUCAGCUUUCUCACAUAUGUUAAUAUAAUAACCCAUUGCAUAUAUAUAUUCUUUAUACAAUAACCUGUUGCAUAGGUAUAUCUGAUACACAGUAACCCAUUGCAUAGGUAUACGGUAUCUAUAUUAACCUGUUGCAAAGUAUUAGCCUGAAAAAGAGGUACUGGAGCCUGCAAGGACGGGGUGGCAAGCCCUGGAUCGCUCCAUGCCCUGUGCUGCGGAGCCGCAGCGAGGGCUGCGAGCAGGGCGAGCUGUCUGCUUCCAAUAAACCUGCUGAGCAAAGAAAAGAGACUGGAUUG
rnacentral:lncRNA from 1 species